rnacentral:rRNA from 1 species
AACGAACGCUGGCGGCGUGCCUAACACAUGCAAGUCGAACGAGAAAGGGGCUUCGGCUCCGAGUAAAGUGGCGCACGGGUGAGUAACACGUAGGUAACCUGCCUCUAAGAUUGGGAUAACCUGUCGAAAGACGAGCUAAUACCGAAUAAGACCACAGCUUCCUCAGAAGCAGGGGUCAAAGGUAGCCUCUACUUGUAAGCUAUCACUUAGAGAUGGGCCUGCGUACCAUUAGCUAGUUGGUGGGGUAACGGCCGUACCAGGCGAAGAUGUUAGCUGGUCUGAGAGGAUGAUCAGCCACACUGGAACUGAGACACGGUCCAGACUCUACGGGAGGCAGCAGUGGGAAUAUUGCGCAAUGGGCGAAAGCCUGACGCAGCAACGCCGCGUGAGUGAUGAAGGCUUUCGGU